rnacentral:rRNA from 1 species
AGAGUUUGAUCCUGGCUCAGGACGAACGCUGGCGGCGUGCCUAAUACAUGCAAGUAGAACGCUGAAGUGAGGAGCUUGCUCUUCUUGGAUGAGUUGCGAACGGGUGAGUAACGCGUAGGUAACCUGCCUUGUAGCGGGGGAUAACUAUUGGAAACGAUAGCUAAUACCGCAUAACAAUGGAUGACCCAUGUCAUUUAUUUGAAAGGGGCAAAUGCUCCACUACAAGAUGGACCUGCGUUGUAUUAGCUAGUAGGUGAGGUAACGGCUCACCUAGGCGACGAUACAUAGCCGACCUGAGAGGGUGAUCGGCCACACUGGGACUGAGACACGGCCCAGACUCCUACGGGAGGCAGCAGUAGGGAAUCUUCGGCAAUGGGGGCAACCCUGACCGAGCAACGCCGCGUGAGUGAAGAAGGUUUUCGGAUCGUAAAGCUCUGUUGUAAGUCAAGAACGAGUGUGAGAGUGGAAAGUUCACACUGUGACGGUAGCUUACCAGAAAGGGACGGCUAACUACGUGCCAGCAGCCGCGGUAAUACGUAGGUCCCGAGCGUUGUCCGGAUUUAUUGGGCGUAAAGCGAGCGCAGGCGGUUUGAUAAGUCUGAAGUUAAAGGCUGUGGCUCAACCAUAGUUCGCUUUGGAAACUGUCAAACUUGAGUGCAGAAGGGGAGAGUGGAAUUCCAUGUGUAGCGGUGAAAUGCGUAGAUAUAUGGAGGAACACCGGUGGCGAAAGCGGCUCUCUGGUCUGUAACUGACGCUGAGGCUCGAAAGCGUGGGGAGCGAACAGGAUUAGAUACCCUGGUAGUCCACGCCGUAAACGAUGAGUGCUAGGUGUUGGAUCCUUUCCGGGAUUCAGUGCCGCAGCUAACGCAUUAAGCACUCCGCCUGGGGAGUACGACCGCAAGGUUGAAACUCAAAGGAAUUGACGGGGGCCCGCACAAGCGGUGGAGCAUGUGGUUUAAUUCGAAGCAACGCGAAGAACCUUACCAGGUCUUGACAUCCCGAUGCUAUUUCUAGAGAUAGAAAGUUACUUCGGUACAUCGGUGACAGGUGGUGCAUGGUUGUCGUCAGCUCGUGUCGUGAGAUGUUGGGUUAAGUCCCGCAACGAGCGCAACCCCUAUUGUUAGUUGCCAUCAUUCAGUUGGGCACUCUAGCGAGACUGCCGGUAAUAAACCGGAGGAAGGUGGGGAUGACGUCAAAUCAUCAUGCCCCUUAUGACCUGGGCUACACACGUGCUACAAUGGUUGGUACAACGAGUUGCGAGUCGGUGACGGCAAGCUAAUCUCUUAAAGCCAAUCUCAGUUCGGAUUGUAGGCUGCAACUCGCCUACAUGAAGUCGGAAUCGCUAGUAAUCGCGGAUCAGCACGCCGCGGUGAAUACGUUCCCGGGCCUUGUACACACCGCCCGUCACACCACGAGAGUUUGUAACACCCGAAGUCGGUGAGGUAACCUUUUGGAGCCAGCCGCCUAAGGUGGGAUAGAUGAUUGGGGUGAAGUCGUAACAAGGUA